rnacentral:lncRNA from 1 species
UUAGAUGCAGGAAAAACCCUUAUUUUCCUAACAUAACUGGCAGUCUCUAAGACUGAAAAUCGCAAGCAACCGACGUGCUUAAAAGUUGUGGCAUAGUUUUAUAUAAUAAAGCUAUACGAAGAUCGCACUUGUUAGAUGAAGAAUAGUUUUAAUAGCUACUCGUUCAUAAAAGCAUAAUACCAUAAUAAUUGUAUAUCCGAUGAGUUUUAUAACCAUACUAAACAUAAUAUGCCUGUAGCGACGUUCUUCAGGCGUCGUAGCGUUAUGACAACUGUCACCCCAAAAGACGGACUGUAGCUAACAGUCAGGGCGCGGGAUCAUGACUUCCCGUAUAGAUCUAUACACAUUUGACACGUUCUCCGAACGGGAGACUCUGGUUAUAGACAGGACUUGUAGCAAUACCUUUUAUCAAAAAGGCAGUGUUUGAAGAUGUACACGUCUCAUGGAUUCUCAACUAAGUCUGUAUUAAAGUAGUAGUUUUGUAUGCAAAGUUUAUCCUUUUUCACAAUGUUUGACAAAGCAUAAAUCAUAAGUUUUUAGAAUGUAUAAAACGGUUUAGCAACGAAGAAUACUUUGGAAUUUCUAAAUACUUUGUAUGAAUCUAGUGCAUGCGAAGUAUGACAAGAGUUUUCACAUAGUAGUACUAAAUCACAAGUGAUUCAUUUGAUAAAAACGAGUAAAGUGAAAUUUUAGAUGUAGAAGACAAGUUUGUAAACAAAACAUAUAUAUGUAUAUGGUUAUAUAUAUGUAUAAGUUUUAAAANGUUCUCACACUCCUCUUGAUAGGGUAAGGUUUAUUGAUGGUAUCUCCCGAACUUCUUUCUCCAUCUGGUCCCUUCUCGGAAAUCUUCUUCCUCGUAUUUCAUCUAUUGGUACUCUUCGAAAUCUUCUUCUGGAUCCUUCUUGAUCCAUCUAUUGGCUUCGGUGGCAGGAUAGUAGGGGUCUAUGUGGAGAUGAAGUCUAGCUGAUAUGCCUAUGCGAGAAUAGGGGUAAGAAGCAUAUGAAGAAUCUAAGUGUGUGGUUCUAUUGUAACGCAAAAUACUCCUAUAGUAUUUUAAAUUUGUAUGUUAAAGUUUUCUUUGUAUAGUUUGUUGGUAAGUUUUAAAUUUGUUGUCCACUGCAGACACUCCUCGGCACACGUUAGUCGGCUCUCGGACAAAUAUAGUUGAUCAGGCUAUAUCCUUCCCAGUUCCGAUUACAUGUCCCAAGGCGUACCUGCACUGCACAACUUAUUUAUAAUACUUCUAAAAUGGUCCGAUGUGAAACUGUUAUUAGUACGAAAUGAAUGCAUGCUUACUUUACAAAAACUAAAUAAAUUUAAUUUCAAAAGUAUGACUCUUCUCAGAGUGUUUUUGCCCAGUUGAGUUUAUAGUUGUAUACCAAAAAUGGUUUUGAUAUACUUAAUUCACUAUAAACAAUGCUCUGAUACCAAUCUGUCACACCCCCAAACCAGAACGGCGGAAACGUUCGGGGGCGGAGGACGUCAUAUUCAGUAUCAUAACAGUUCAUAGAAAGGAAAGUACACACCACCAUACAUAUUAAGGUUUCCAAAAUGUUUACAUAAUUGUAUUCGUUACAUGUUCAAAAGAUAAAUACAUAAACAUCUUUUAAAAGAAGUAAUUAACGUCAGCACGUUAAUCCUCAAAAGUUGAUUUCCAAACCUGCUUAGCGAUUCCCUGAGAAUAGAAGUUAUUUCAAAGAAAAAGUGUCAACAAUUAAGUUGGUGAGUUCAUAAGUAGUGUUUUGAGAAAAUAUGCGCCAUUCGAAAGUUCAUGUAUGUUUUCCAGAAAACGCGGUAUUUUCAAAUGAAAAGAGUUAUGAUUCGUUGGGUUGAAAAUGAAUGUAUUAGAUCCAGAAAAUCCCAUAUUUUCCCUAAUAGUUGAGAUAUGAUUUGUUGUGCUUUCCAAGAAAAACCCUUAUUUUCUUAUAAAAGUAUGAAAUGCAUAUGAAUGUUCGUGUUAUAAGUUGUAAAUAGUUGCACCAAGAAAAUCCCUUAUUUUCCUAUUAGUUGUUUGAUUUAGAAGCAAGAAAAACCCUUACUUUCCUAACAUAACUGGCAGUCUCUAAGAACGAAAAUCGCAAGCAACCGACGUGCUUAGAAGUUGUUGCAUAGUUUUAUAUAAUAAAGCUAUACGAAGAUCACACUUGUUAGAUGAAGAAUACUUUUAAUAGCUACUCAUUCAUAAAAGCAUAAUACCAUAAUAGUUGUAUAUCCGAUGUGUUUUAUAACCAUACUAAACAUAAUAUGCCUGUAGCGACGUUCUUCAGGCGUCGUAGCGUUAUGACAACUGCACCCCAAAAG